rnacentral:rRNA from 1 species
UACGUAGGGCGCAAGCGUUGUCCGGAAUUAUUGGGCGUAAAGAGCUCGUAGGCGGCCUGUUACGUCUGCUGUGAAAUCCCGGGGCUUAACCCCGGGCGUGCAGUGGAUACGGGCAGGCUGGAGGCAGGCAGGGGAGAACGGAAUUCCCGGUGUAGCGGUGAAAUGCGCAGAUAUCUGGAGGAACACCGGUGGCGAAGGCGGCAUCCUGGACCAUUACUGACGCUGAGGAGCGAAAGCCAGGGGAGCAAACGGGG